CAAAGCAAGAGCCAAACCCAAGCACCCCCCCCCCCAAACCCCUCACCGGCUCCGUUGUGUUCUGCCGCUGGAAAUUGACUUAUGGCGCUAGACCGCCUCCAAUCUCCCCCAAAUUAACACCCUAUAACAUCCUUCCACCGUUCCAAAUCCACAAACUAUUUCCCUCAAACCCUUACCAAAAUCUUCGAAUUUUAGAUAUAAGAUUCACACAAAAGCUUAAACUUUCUACUUUUUUUUUUGAUUUCUUCUAUCAGUUUCUGGGUAUUUGAACCUAAGACUUCCAUUAAUCAACUGUUCUUGUCAAGAGAAGUUGACUAGUUGACUUAUGCUAUUUUUCUGCCCUUCGGGAUUCAUUUCUUCUAUUCCUUCCUGUUUGCAUGAUGAAAGUAUACUCCCUUUUGUUAGUUUUAUCUGUUCGUUCCAUUUUAUGUAAAUUGAAGAAUGCAAAAUAUUUUGUUUAUUUUGGAAGCUCAGUCACAAUUGCAUCAGACUUUGACUAAUUAGGGUUUAAUUUUAGAAAAAGCUGCAUGACUAUUUUUUUCUUCUCCAUAUUUCUGGUUUGUGUUGUGCGUUUAUAUUAAGUUUUUUCUUUAAGUUAAUCAAUAUUCUUUUACUCAAUUCCCAAAGGUUAGUCAACCAUUUUCUGACAUGUUCUUGAUUAGCCCCAGAAAAUCUUAGCCUUAGUUUGGUGAAUCUAUUUACUUAAAAAAUAAUUAGAAUGAUUUC
rnacentral:lncRNA from 1 species